rnacentral:rRNA from 1 species
UACCAGCACCCCGAGUGGUCGGGACGAUUAUUGGGCCUAAAGCAUCCGUAGCCGGUUUUACAAGUCCUCCGUUAAAUCCAACUGCUUAACAGAUGGGCUGCGGAGGAUACUAUAGAGCUAGGAGGCGGGAGAGGCAAGCGGUACUUAGUGGGUAGGGGUAAAAUCCGUUGAUCCAUUGAAGACCACCAGUGGCGAAGGCGGCUUGCCAGAACGCACUCGACGGUGAGGGAUGAAAGCUGGGGGAGCAAACCGGGAU